UUCACAGACGGUCCUCAGUUCGAACCUGGGUCGCUUCAGGAGCGAUGGUGUAGUUGGUUAUCACGUCUGUCUAACAUC
rnacentral:tRNA from 1 species